CCGUUAUCCGGGGCGGUUUCACUAGAGUGCCCAGCUUGACCUGAUGGCAACUAAUGAUAAGGGUUGCGCUCGUUGCGGGACUUAACCCAACAUCUCACGACACGAGCUGACGACGGCCAUGCAGCACCUGUGUCCUAGUUCUCUUUCGAGCACUCCCACAUCUCUGCAGGAUUCCAGACAUGUCAAGGGUAGGUAAGGUUGUUCGCGUUGCAUCGAAUUAAUCCACAUCAUCCACCGCUUGUGCGGGUCCCCGUCAAUUCCUUUGAGUUUCAGCCUUGCGGCCGUACUCCCCAGGCGGGACACUUACUGCGUUAGCGACGGCACCGGGAGGGUCGCUCCCCCCGACGCCUAGUGUCCAUCGUUUACGGCGUGGACUAC
rnacentral:misc_RNA from 1 species